GGCCUGUUGAUUAUUAUUUCAGGUCUCGCCUGCCCACUGAGUAGUUAAAGGGCCGCGGUAUCUUGACCGUGCAAAGGUAGCAUAAUAAUUAGUUUCUUAAUUGGAAGCUUGUAUGAACGGUAGGAUGAGAAAAUUACUGUCUCUGAUUAAUUUCUAUUGAAUUUUAUCUUUAAGUAAAAAAGCUUAAAUUUUAUUAAAAGACGAGAAGACCCUGUAGAAUUUUACACUUGAUUUUAUUACCUUUUAUUUAGAAUUUUUAGAAAGGUGAUUGGGUUCCGUGUUUGGUUGGGGUGAUCGAAAAAUUAAAAUAACUUUUUUUUUAUUAUAACAUUGAUUUAUGAAAAAUUGAUCCAUUGUUUGUGAUUAUAAGAUAAAAUUACCUCAGGGAUAACAGCGUAAUCUUCUUAGAGAGUCCUUAUCGAUAAGAAGGUUUGCGACCUCGAUGUUGGAUUAAAAUUAAGUCUUGGUGCAGAAGCUAGGAAUAUUUGGUCUGUUCGACCAUUAAAAUUU
rnacentral:rRNA from 1 species